UGUCCUCAACCCUGAUGAAUUAUCUUGCUGGGAUAUCAUCUCAGACUUUUGGACAAAUCUCUUUAACAAACAGACCAGGGGAAAGUUCAGCGUAGACAAUAAGAAACCUUAACCAUUCUCCAACUCUUCCCUGUGGACACGCCCCCUCCCUGCAGGAGAAGGAUGAUGGGCGUGCUCAUUCUAACGUUCUGUCUGCUGGGAGCAGCUUUGACUAGUUCUGUCCCUCAGUAUGAUGUCACGGAUGAGCUACCCCCACAGAGAGAGAUGGUUCCUCAGGUGUCUCAGAUGGACAUUCUGGAUCAGAUGAUCCCUCCACAACUCAACCCUCAGGUCCCUGUACUAUCACAGUUGCCAGGGAACCAGGUAGACCACACCCCCUCCUGGAACUCCUCCUCCUUACCUCAACAGGUCUCUGACCUACCGCAGUUGCCAGGG